AACAGGAUUAGAUACCCUGGUAGUCCACGCUGUAAACGAUGUCGACUUGGAGGUUGUGCCCUUGAGGCGUGGCUUCCGGAGCUAACGCGUUAAGUCGACCGCCUGGGGAGUACGGCCGCAAGGUUAAAACUCAAAUGAAUUGACGGGGGCCCGCACAAGCGGUGGAGCAUGUGGUUUAAUUCGAUGCAACGCGAAGAACCUUACCUACUCUUGACAUCCAGAGAAUUUGCUAGAGAUAGCUUAGUGCCUUCGGGAACUCUGAGACAGGUGCUGCAUGGCUGUCGUCAGCUCGUGUUGUGAAAUGUUGGGUUAAGUCCCGCAACGAGCGCAACCCUUAUCCUUUGUUGCCAGCACGUAAUGGUGGGAACUCAAAGGAGACUGCCGGUGAUAAACCGGAGGAAGGUGGGGAUGACGUCAAGUCAUCAUGGCCCUUACGAGUAGGGCUACACACGUGCUACAAUGGCAUAUACAAAGGGAAGCGAACUCGCGAGAGCAAGCGGACCUCAUAAAGUAUGUCGUAGUCCGGAUUGGAGUCUGCAACUCGACUCCAUGAAGUCGGAAUCGCCAGUAAUCGUAGAUCAGAAUGCUACGGUGAAUACGUUCCCGGGCCUUGUACACACCGCCCGUCACACCAUGGGAGUGGGUUGCAAAAGAAGUAGGUAGCUUAACCUUCGGGAGGGCGCUUACCACUUUGUGAUUCAUGACUGGGGUGAAGUCGUAACAAGGUAACC
rnacentral:rRNA from 1 species